UUAAGUUCAGCGGGUAGUCCUACCUGAUUUGAGAUCAGAUCAUAAGUAAUUUGUCCAAGUCAAUGGACUAUUAGAAGCGGUUCAUAAUAAUCCCGGCCACCUUUUACAGUGUCCUCAGCGAGUGAUACUUAUCACGCCGAGUGGAACCGAGUUCAUACAGAUCCAGCUAAUGAAUUUAAGAGGAGCAGACGUGAAUCUGC
rnacentral:misc_RNA from 1 species